GCGUGUGUGGAUUCCCGUUUUGUAAAUAAACUGUCACCUUUUGCUUGCCAGAACUCCGGCUGCAGGUAUAGCCUGUGGCUAAGGGAUCAGAGCAUUCAGCACUUCAGACACUCAACACCCCACCCAGACGACAGCCUUACCAUGACCU